UCAUCUUUUAAUUUAAUAUUGUUUUAAUUCAUGCCCAUGUCAUGCUGGCUACCAGUCAAAUAUUGCAUACAAUUAAAAAUACUAUUAAUCACCUAUAAACCUUAAAUGGCCCAGCACCUUCCUAUCUUAGAGAAUUAAUAUCAGAAUACAAUCCAACACGUACACUGCGGUCGCAAAAUUCUGGUCUCUUAAUUUUCCCUAGAAUAUCAAAAGUGUUUAAGCUCUGAAAUGAUUUGCCAACUGAUAUCUGUGAAUCAGACACAGUCAAUCACUUUAAAUCUAAAGGGACACUUCACCCAUUUGUAUUAAGCUUUGUAUCUUUAGAACCCCAGUCAUGUUUUUGAAUGGUCAUGCAUCAUUUCCUGAGACAGGAGAAAUACAGAUUUCAGUGUUGCACUUCCUCCUUUCAAUGAUGUAAAAAUUAUAAUUUUGCAUCAUUGAAAGAAGGAAGUCCAAUAUCUUUGUUGAGGUGGUGAGACUACAAACACCCCUUUUUUAGUCAAAUAGGCACCAAAUUCGAAAUGUAUGUUACAUUUCCACUACAAAUAUGAGACACUUUCAAUAAAGAUUAAUGUUUCUACAGGUGAAAUGCUCCAUUAAAGGAUAAUUCUGGUAUUUAACACUUUGAGUCUUAUUUCUGGUUUGUUUUGGAUGAAUUACAGUGAUGGACACUGUAAUUUUUGACAAUGGAUCGUGUCUUGAAUUUUUUGACUCGUUUAGAAGCGUCUCUUCACUGCUUCAGAGUGGAAGUCAAGGGUCAUGCACAAACAUGUCAUUAAAACAACACUUAACCUUCAUUUUCAAAACUGUCCCUUACGAAAAUUAACCAUGGUUUUAUUGUGGUAAAAGUGUAGUAACCAUGUUUUUUUUGGUCAAUUGAUUACUAUGAGCAAAACCAUGGUUUUACUACACUAACCAUGGUUUAACUAUGGUUUUUGAAAACCAUGGUUGUCAAAACCAUUGUUAUUUUGUGGUAGCCAUGGUUUUACUACAGUAACCAUGGUUUUUUGGUCUUAACUGUAGUAAAACCAUGGUUAAUUUUCGUAAGGGGUGCUACUCACCGAGUGGUUCGUGGUGUUUGUUGAUGAUUAAAAACAAGUAGUGUGGCGAAAUACAGUUUCUGUGGUGUUUUAUUUGGCAUUUUGUAAAAUUCCAUUGACUUCUCUUGGAAGACUCAUUGCUCGCUGAUAUAUCACUCUGCCGCCGGAAAUGGAAAAGGGUCUGUUUACAUCUGGUUGUAGUUUUUUCGCUCGGUUUCUCUCAGAAGGCUAGCAUGAGCAGAGCAACUGUGCCCUCGAAGUAGGGCACAAAUUUUUCCCAUAUUUGAUGGCUCAGUGACCAGUCUUAGGUUUGAAGUUGAGCUCGAUUGUGACUGUUUAUACGCUAGACACCAAGUUCCGUUCAGCAUCCUUGUACGGCAAAGUGGUUGUCGCCAUCAAGUGGUCAAGAGUGUGCUAACGCUUCAGACUCAAAUAUAGAGCGAAAGUAUAUACGUGGUUGUGAGGUGUCUGAAAAAAUAGAUCCACUAUAGCAAAUAACACGGAUUAAAAUCAUACAUUGCUCUGAUAUAUUUGUUUUUAAUCAUCAACGAACACCACAAACCACUCUGUGAGUAGCAGUUUUGAAAAUGAACGUUAAGUGUUGUUUUAAUGACAUGUUUGUGCAUGGCCCUUGACUUCCAUUCUGAAGCAGUCAAGAGACGCUUCUAAACAAGUUAAAAAGUCAAGACACGACCCAUUGUCAAAAUUUCAGUGACCAUCACUGUAGUUCAUCCAAAACAAACCAGAAAUGAGACUCAAAGUGUUUAAUACCGGAAUUAUUCUUUAAGACUUUUUUUCUUUAACAAAGCAUUCACAUAAUUUGUCUAGUAAAUUAUACUUACGUAUCUCGCAAAAGUUAGCUUGUACGGAACAAAGCAUUCACAUAACUCUUCUGGGUAAUUUACUAAUGCCGCAAUAGCUAGCCUGUCUGGAACCGAGCAGAUAUUAAAACACAACACUGUGUGACACUGCAUUACAUGUGAAUGGCCCCUACGCUAAUAGGAUUUUGUUUCUCUCUCCCUGUCUCGUCCUCAAACCCGAGGACAUUGAGACAAACAGACCAGUUCUGGCUGCCGUGGAGGUCAACACACCACUGAUCUACUGGCUGCCCUUCAACGUGAUGCCCAGCCGAUGCCUGACCACCGACGGAACCCAUGCAGUGAGGGAGUGAUUCCCCAACAUCGAGGUGGCAGAGAUCCGGGACCUUCUACGGAGGAAGUGCAACAAUGCCAGUUACAAGGCCUCCAGUAGUUCAAAUCAGAGCUAGAUGUCCAUAUAGUACAAGUUGUUCGCAAUUGUUCUCUUCCCGGCAUUUCAAAGAAAGUCGACUGUUUAAGGUUCCCCAUUUUGCCAAUAUCUGUUUUGUGUGUUACUUUUGUGUCAUUAAUAAAGAUCCUUUUUUGAAA